rnacentral:rRNA from 1 species
CCCUUAGAUGUUCUGGGCCGCACGCGCGCUACACUGACGAAGUCAGCGAGCAUGUCCUACGCCGACAGGUGCGGGAAAUCUUGUCAAACUUCGUCGUGAUGGGGAUUGAUUAUUGAAAUUCUUGAUCAUCAACGAGGAAUUCCUAGUAAGCGCAAGUCAGCAGCUUGCGUUGAUUACGUCCCUGCCCUUUGUACACACCGCCCGUCGCUACUACCGAUUGAAUGGUUUAGUGAGAUCUUCGGAUUGGCGCCACUGCGGCUCAGCAAUGGGCUCGGUGGAUGCCGAAAAGUUGAUCAAACUUGAUCAUUUAGAGGAAGUAAAAGUCGUAACA